GGAGUUAUAGCUCAGGGGUAGAGCAUAUGCUUGUUAUGCACAAGGUCCUGUGUUCAAUCCCCAGUGCCUCCA